rnacentral:sRNA from 1 species
AAACAAGCUGAGCUUUCCUGUCUGCCUACCAGCAUGCUGCAGGUCACCCACAGGGCUGAACUGUCCCCCUGUACUGCCCACUCGGCUAACCAUUGCCUCCUCCUCUCCUAGGUGUGCUGAUGUAUCGGGACUACCCCCUGGAACUAUUCAUGGCCCAGUGCUAUGGCAACAUCAGUGACUUGGGCAAGGGGCGCCAGAUGCCCGUCCACUAUGGCUGCAAGGAACGCCACUUCGUCACUAUCUCCUCUCCACUGGCCACGCAGAUCCCUCAGGCGGUGGGGGCGGCCUACGCAGCCAAGCGGGCCAACGCCAACAGGGUCGUCAUCUGUUACUUCGGCGAGGGGGCGGCCAGUGAGGGGGACGCCCAUGCCGGCUUCAACUUCGCUGCCACACUUGAGUGCCCCAUCAUCUUCUUCUGCCGGAACAAUGGCUACGCCAUCUCCACGCCCACCUCCGAGCAGUAUCGCGGCGAUGGUAUUGCAGCACGAGGCCCCGGGUAUGGCAUCAUGUCAAUCCGUGUGGAUGGUAAUGAUGUGUUUGCUGUGUACAACGCCACAAAGGAGGCCCGACGGCGGGCUGUGGCAGA